AACGAACGCUGGCGGCGCGCCUAAUACAUGCAAGUCGAGCGAGAAGACGUAGCAAUACGUUUGUAAAGCGGCGAACGGGUGAGGAAUACAUGGGUAACCUACCCUCGAGUGGGAAUAACUAGCCGAAAGGUUAGCUAAUACCGCGUACGCUCCUUGGACUUCGGUUCAGGGAGGAAAGCGAUACCGUGGGUAUCGCGCUCUUGGAUGGGCUCAUGCCCUAUCAGCUUGUUGGUGAGGUAACGGCUCACCAAGGCUUCGACGGUAGCUGGUCUGAGAGGACAAUCAGCCACACUGGCACUGCGACACGGGCCAGACUCCUACGGGAGGCAGCAGUAAGGAAUAUUGCGCAAUGGGCAAAGCCUGACGCAGCGACGCCGCGGUGGGGG
rnacentral:rRNA from 1 species